GGGGACGUUACGGAUUCGACGGGGAUAGUUCGAACUCGGGCUGCAGGUCGAGGCGACGACUCGACAACGUCAUUUGCCUAAAUAUAACUGGCGAAUCUGAAGACAACCUAGCUCUAGCAGCGUAAGCUGGCUUGAGCGAUCCUUCCCGGCAUCGCCUGUGUGCCGGUGCAAGGGUCUCAAACUGAAGCAGGCUACGCGUUUCUCCACCAUCUGAGGAGAAACGAAGAGACUAAUCAGAUUAGCGUCUGCGAUAAGCCGGUCGAUAGGCUGAGCAGUUCGCGAAUCAGAAUAUAUCGACUAAGCUUGUAGAUGCCCGAGUGCCGAUAUCUCCGGACGCGGGUUCGACUCCCGCCGUCUCCACCA
rnacentral:tmRNA from 4 species